rnacentral:tRNA from 1 species
GGAGCGGUAGUUCAGUUGGUUAGAAUACCGGCCUGUCACGCCGGGGGUCGCGGGUUCGACGUCCGUCCGCUCCGCCA